rnacentral:tRNA from 1 species
AGCUAUAGCUUGAUUGGUGAUCUGCAUGGCAUGCAGGGGGCCAGCGGUUCGAGUCCGCUUGGCUCCA